UCAGCGGGGUGAAAGGUCGCCAGCUGCUGGAGGAGGGCCUAGGGUCUUUGAGGGCAUCUCAUUGGGUGUUCCCCACAUGGGGUCUUUGGGUCCCUAUGGAUUUUGAGGGCCACUGCUGCUGUGGGAAAUUCGAGCAACCCCUUCCUUCGCUCACCAGUGUUUGGACUCUGCAUGCGUGCUCCUGGCUUCUCUGCUUUCCCAGUCAGGGUGACAACACCCAUUGCAGGGUGACAGCAGAUAAACACUGUUCCUCCUUGGUUAUGUGAGUCUGUAACUGGGCCGGGAGCCGUCAGACUCGGGGCCCACCUCAUCAUCAUCUUUUGAAGAAGGCAAUGCUAAAUACCCCACGGAGCUGCACAGACUGGGGUUUGAGGAAUGCUUAAGCCCCAGGUCUUCAUGAUUUGACUGGUGGAAUGAGGGAGUUAAGGAAAGAGAUCUGCAGCAGAGUUAAUCUCAGCCAUGGAAAAGAGGAAUCACCUAUGCACACUACACAGCCG